UAGUCAUAUGCUUGUCUCAAAGAUUAAGCCAUGCAUGUCUAAGUAUAAACUGCUUAUACUGUGAAACUGCGAAUGGCUCAUUAAAUCAGUUAGAGUUUAUUUGAUGGUACCUUGCUACUUGGAUAACCGUAGUAAUUCUAGAGCUAAUACAUGCGUAAAUCCCGACUCACGAAGGGACGUAUUUAUUAGAUCCAAGACCGACCGUGCUUGCACGCUCUUGGUGAAUCAUGAUAACUUCACGAAUCGCAUGGCCUUGCGCCGGCGAUGUUUCAUUCAA
rnacentral:rRNA from 1 species